rnacentral:miRNA from 1 species
UUGCACAGCUUAGAGCUCUGUC